GGGGUUGUGGCUCAGUGGUAGAGCGCUUGCUUUACAUGCGUGAGGCCCUGGGUUCGAUCCUCACCACCACA
rnacentral:tRNA from 1 species